rnacentral:misc_RNA from 1 species
GAACGCACAUUGCGCCCCGUGGUAUUCCGCGGGGCAUGCCUGUUCGAGCGUCAGUACAACACUCAAGCUCUGCUUGGUAUUGGGCCCUGCCGGCAACGGCUGGCCUUAAAAUCAGUGGCGGCGCCAUCUGGCUCUAAGCGUAGUAAUACUCCUCGCUACAGAGUCCCGGUGGAUGCUUGCCAGCAACCCCCCCAACUUCUAAGUUUGACCUCGGAUCAGGUAGGGAUACCCGCUGAACUUAAG